rnacentral:rRNA from 1 species
UACGUAGGGUGCAAGCGUUAAUCGGAAUUACUGGGCGUAAAGCGUGCGCAGGCGGUGAUGUAAGACAGUUGUGAAAUCCCCGGGCUCAACCUGGGAACUGCAUCUGUGACUGCAUUGCUGGAGUGCGGCAGAGGGGGAUGGAAUUCCGCGUGUAGCAGUGAAAUGCGUAGAUAUGCGGAGGAACACCGAUGGCGAAGGCAAUCCCCUGGGCCGGCACUGACGCUGAUGCACGAAAGCGUGGGGAGCAAACAGG